AUCCUUUUGUAGUUCAUAAGUGUGAUGAUUGGGUGUUCACACUAUUGUGUGAGAUGUGCCUCCCACAAACCUUGCUACGAUGUCAGCACAUUACCUGUCUGAUA